rfam:Verticillium albo-atrum VaMs.102 supercont1.8 genomic scaffold, whole genome shotgun sequence.
GCCCUUAUAGCACAGUGGUAGUGCGUUGCACUUGUAGGUUGAAGGUCCAGCACCCGAGUCCAGAGAUGCAAAGGUCACUGGUUCAAUCCCAGUUGGGGGCA